rnacentral:rRNA from 1 species
UCAUUCUAGAAACACUUUCCAGUACCUCUACUUUGUUACGACUUAUUUCAAUUUUUAAAUGAAAGCGACGGGCAAUAUGUACAUAUUUUAAUUUUUAAUCAUUUUAUUAUAUUAAAUAAAAUUACAUUUAAAUCCACCUUCAUAUUUCUAUUACAAACAACAAUCCAUUUAAAUAAAUUUAUUGUAAUCCAUCAUAUUCUUAAUUAUAUUCUACAUCUUGAUCUGAAUUAAUUUCUAUUUUUAAUUUUUAAAUAUUAUUUUUAUUUUAAAAUAUUUUUUUAACAACGAUAUAUAAAAUUUUAAAUUAAGUAAAUUUAAUCGUGGAUUAUCAAUUAUUAGACAGAUUCCUCUAAAUGAACUAAAAUACCGCCAAAUUAUUUAAGUUUCAAUAAAUUAUUAUUCACUAUUUUAGUAUUCUUAAUUAAAUUUUA